AUUGAACGCUGGCGGCAUGCCUUACACAUGCAAGUCGAACGGUAACAGGUUAAGCUGACGAGUGGCGAACGGGUGAGUAAUGUAUCGGAACGUGCCCAGUCGUGGGGGAUAACUACUCGAAAGAGUGGCCAAUACCGCCUACGACCUGAGGGUGAAAGCGGGGGACCGUAAGGCCCCGCGGGAUUGGAGGGGCCGAUAUCGGAUUAGCUAGUUGGGGGGGUAAAAGUCCACCAAGGCGACGAUCUGUAGCUGGUCUGAGAGGACGACCAGCCACACUGGGACUGAGACACGGCCCAGACUCCUACGGGAGGCAGCAGUGGGGAAUUUUGGACAAUGGACGCAAGUCUGAUCCAGCCAUGCCGCGUGCGGGAAGAAGGCCUUCGGGUUGUAAACCGCUUUUGUCAGGGAAGAAACGAGUUUCUCUAAUACAGAGACUUAAUGACGGUACCUGAAGAAUAAGCACCGGCUAACUACGAGCCAGCCGCCGCGGUAAAAC
rnacentral:rRNA from 1 species